rnacentral:rRNA from 1 species
GUCUAAAGUCAUACCUCUCUGGAUACAGCCAAUCUUGUGUGACUCUGGGAAUCUAAGCAGGGUUGGAUCUGGUUAAAUAUCAGAUGGGAUACCUGCUGCUAAUGCCAAGCCCUGUAGGCU